rnacentral:ncRNA from 1 species
CCAGCCAAGCCUCUCGCAGAAGCUCAAACCGGCUGGG